GUGUGUGUGUGUGUGUGUGUGUAUGUAUGUAUAUAUAUAUAUAUAUAUAUAUAUAUAUGUGUAUUUAUAUAGAUACAUACACACACACACACAA